rnacentral:rRNA from 1 species
CUAGUAACUGCGAGUGAAGCGGGAAAAGCUCAAAUUUAAAAUCUGGCGGUCUUUGGCUGUCCGAGUUGUAAUCUAGAGAAGUGUUAUCCGCGCUGGACCGUGUACAAGUCUCCUGGAAUGGAGCGUCAUAGAGGGUGAGAAUCCCGUCUUUGACACGGACUGCCAGUGCUUUGUGAUGCGCUCUCAAAGAGUCGAGUUGUUUGGGAAUGCAGCUCAAAAUGGGUGGUAAAUUCCAUCUAAAGCUAAAUAUUGGCGAGAGACCGAUAGCGAACAAGUACCGUGAGGGAAAGAUGAAAAGAACUUUGGAAAGAGAGUUAAACAGUACGUGAAAUUGUUGAAAGGGAAACGCUUGAAGUCAGUCGCGUCGUCCGGGGAUCAACCUUGCUUUUGCUGGGUGUACUUUCCGGUUGACGGGUCAGCAUCAAUUUUGACCGUUGGAUAAAGUUCAGGGGAAUGUGGCAUCUUCGGAUGUGUUAUAGCCCUUGGUCGCAUACAACGAUUGGGAUUGAGGAACUCAGCACGCCGCAAGGCCGGGAAUUUAUUCCACGUUCGUGCUCAGGAUGCUGGCAUAAUGGCUUUAAUCGACCCGUCUUGAAACACGGACCAAGGAGUCUAACAUGCCUGCGAGUGUUUGGGUGGGAAAACCCGAGCGCGUAAUGAAAGUGAAAGUUGAGAUCCCUGUCGCGGGGAGCAUCGACGCCCGGACCAGACCUUUUGUGACGGAUCCGCGGUAGAGCAUGUAUGUUGGGACCCGAAAGAUGGUGAACUAUGCCUGAAUAGGGUGAAGCCAGAGGAAACUCUGGUGGAGGCUCGUAGCGAUUCUGACGUGCAAAUCGAUCGUCAAAUUUGGGUAUAGGGGCGAAAGACUAAUCGA